rnacentral:lncRNA from 1 species
UGAGAGCGUGCAGACAGACUUGCUGGAGGCUUUACGCAGCCUGCACAAGAUCAUGGUUAUAGAUAUUGGUCUCCGCAGUACAUUUCCAAAGGGGAGUGUGAGAAAGACAUGCAAAGAAGGCUUCGUCCUCUCACUACAUCUCCGUCGCCUGAUUCUAGGUGGCAUCAAGUUCCCAAGGCUUCCGGUGUGGAUUAGUCCCUUGCGUCUUCCCAACCUCUGCGACCUACUAGUGUAUGUGCAUGAUGUUGAACAGCAGGAUAUGGAUGUCAUUGGAGAUUUCAAAUAUCUCCGUAAUCUGCACAUUUUGAUUGUGAGCAACAAAACU